rnacentral:rRNA from 1 species
CCUACGGGAGGCAGCAGUGGGGAAUAUUGCACAAUGGGGGAAACCCUGAUGCAGCGACGCCGCGUGAGCGAUGAAGUCAUUCGGGAUGUAAAGCUCUAUCAGCAGGGAAGAAAAUGACGGUACCUGACCAAGAAGCCCCGGCUAACUACGUGCCAGCAGCCGCGGUAAUACGUAGGGGGCAAGCGUUAUCCGGAUUUACUGGGUGUAAGGGGAGCGUAGACGGCUGCGCAAGUCGGAGGUGAAAGGCGGGGGCCCAACCCCGGGACUGCAAUGGAAACUGUGGAGCUGGAGUGCGGGAGAGGCAGGCGGAAUGCCUGGUGUAGCGGUGAAAUGCGUAGAUAUUAGGAGGAACACCAGUGGCGAAGGCGGCCUGCGGGACUGUGACUGACGUUGAGGCUCGAAAGCGUGGGGAGCAAACAGGAUUAGAUACCCCAGUAGUC